rnacentral:rRNA from 1 species
AGAGUUUGAUCCUGGCUCAGAGCGAACGCUGGCGGCGUGCUUAACACAUGCAAGUCGAGUGCGCGUCUGUAGCAAUACAGAUGGCGCACGGCGCACGGGUGCGUAACACGUGGGUAAUCUGCCCUUCGAAGGGGAAUAACUCGCCGAAAGGCGAGCUAAUUCCGCAUAACAUUCCAAGAGCUUCGGUUUUUUGGACUCAAAGGCGUAAGUCGUCGGAGGAGGAGCCCGCGCACGAUUAGCUAGUUGGUGGGGUAAUGGCCCACCAAGGCUAUGAUCGUUAGCUGGUCUGAGAGGAUGGCCAGCCACACUGGAACUGAGACACGGUCCAGACUCCUACGGGAGGCAGCAGUGGGGAAUCUUGCACAAUGGGCGAAAGCCUGAUGCAGCGACGCCGCGUGGGGGAUGAAGCUUCUCGGAGUGUAAACCCCUUUCGACCCGGA